GGAAAGAGCGGAUGGGAACAGCCACAACUUCCAACUCUUCGACUCUUGUAACCAUGAGAAAGAAGCCGAGGAUAGUGAGUGGCAUCUGCUUCUACUGGUCACGGCAGGUGCCUGGGAUUCAACUGGUCCCGCUAACUCUUUCUUAACCUUACUGCUUCCAUUUGAUAAAACUGUGUUGACGAACACAGGUGAAGAAGGAGAAGCUGAUGUCUCCCUCUGGCAAGGUAAGCUAAUCGAUCGAUUGUCUCUUGCAUCGAUCCUCUUUCAUAUUCUUCCCUUCUCAGUUUGACUUCGACGGUCAGAACGGAAUGCAACAGGCUGACACGACCUCAGUUCUCGGUUCUCUAUCUUUGUGGUGGUAUAAACUCACUCGGUGUUCGAAUCACCGGUUCGCAGAAAUUAUCCGUUCCGUUUUGGGAUAGAAUUUAUGAAUCUUUGAUUCGUCUACUUUUCAAUCUGAUUAAACGUAUUUAUUUAGACCUGUAUUUUCAUCUGAUUUUUUUAUUAUUUAUUUCUCGAAUUUGAGAUGAUGUCAUGCAUAAUUUUGUGUAAUCCACUUGAGAGUUUGCUACUAAAAUUUUUCUCUUUAAUUCGAAUCUAAAUUUACAUGGAAAAGUCUGAUGCAGCCACAAUUCGAUUUCAGUUUAAUUUACUGUUCUAACACCUACGAACAGAGGGGUUUCAUGUAGCCUCUUUGAGUUGGUGAUCCAGAGAUCUCUUUCGUUUGCCUGAGAACAGCUUCCGUCGUUUCUUCGAGGUAUGUUCCAUGGCCGAGAUCUCAGCAAUGCUAUCCCACGAGAAGAAGGCAACCAACCCUCAUCUCUGAGGGCACACCGACAACCCAGAAGAACCCAUCUUUCUCUCACUCGGAAGGCUUGGGUUCGCGGACGACGCCGCUUCCUGCGCUCGACCUGUUUGUUUAUUUGCCGCAACGGAACAACAUGAGACACGAGCGGCGCCAUAGGCCAAGGCUGGAGGCCGGAUGAUGGGCUUUAGGCCCAACCGUCA
rnacentral:lncRNA from 1 species